rnacentral:rRNA from 1 species
CCUACGGGAGGCAGCAGUGGGGAAUAUUGGGCAAUGGGGGAAACCCUGACCCAGCGACGCCGCGUGGAGGAAGGAGCCCUUCGGGGUGUAAACUCCUGUUGUAAGGGAAGAAGACAGUGACGGUACCUUACGAGGAAGCCCCGGCAAACUACGUGCCAGCAGCCGCGGUAACACGUAGGGGGCGAGCGUUGUCCGGAAUUACUGGGCGUAAAGCGCACGCAGGCGGAUGCGCGCGUCGGCUGUGAAAUGCACCGGCUCAACCGGUGCACUGCGGUCGAUACGGCGCAUCUGGAGUGCGGGAGAGGGAAGCGGAAUUCCCGGUGUAGCGGUGAAAUGCGUAGAUAUCGGGAGGAACGCCGGUGGCGAAGGCGGCUUCCUGGCCCGCAACUGACGCUCAUGUGCGAAAGCCAGGGGAGCGAACC